UUUUGUAGCCUAGCAAGGAAAAUGAGUUAAUACCACAAAUGGUCCUCUGACUAUUUGGAUAGUACUCCUUUUAGUUCUCGACUUUCAAUUCGACCAAAACACAUACCUUAACUUUCAUUUUUGACUAUAAAUAGUCCUCCGUUA